AAAGGGCGUAUACAGGUUGUUAACAAAGUCUUGACAUCACAAAUUUGUUUGAAUGAACAUCACAGUUUCAUCUGAUCAAUUGUAUGACGUGAAAUUAGAGUGUUCCAUAAUUCAAAAAGAAUGGGAAAUUUGCAUAUAUAAUAAACUGGUAUUUAAAGUUUUCCCCUUCUUUUGUGCCCUCAGAUGAAGAGAAUAACAUUAUAUGAUACAGGACUUCUUGCUCUUCAUCAUGUUAA